rnacentral:lncRNA from 10 species
GGUAGGGAGCCUCUCUCCCCCAGUGGCCAUGUUUACAAAAGUGUGUUUUGUCUAUAAAGUGCAAGUGUUUUAAUGUUUAUGUAAAUUAUGCAGGUGAUAACAUGGUUUGGAACUGUUUAUUGGGCUCUUUAACUGAAUUUUCAAAUGAAAUGAACUAUGCUUAUUGCUGGCACAUUGAUCCCAUUUCUGGAACAUUUUUCCUAUUUCCAGAGUUACAUAUGUUCUUUUGUCAUUACCCAAUUUAACCUCCCUUUCUCUGAUAUGCCUUGUAGCCAAAGUAUUAAAGGCUGAUGAACAUAGACAAGGGAAAUGCAUUUCUUAGAAAUCCGUGAACCCUCAGUUGUAUGCUUUCAGUACUCGUGUUAAUAUGUUUCUAUGGCAACUCUGAGGUCAGUGGUUUAGAAAUGAGAUACCAGUGUUAAUGAAAAGUGUGUGCUCUUUGCUUUUGCAUGGCUUGGCUUAGUAUCCAAGGUAUAUUAGGGCCACUUGAAAGCAUGAAGACCAGUUAUAUAGGGAACAGGUUUCUCUCAGUGGCACAUUUUGCUUUUUCUGAGCCCCAAAUACAUUGCCUGGGCAUGAACAUUGUUACCGUAAAUUGCACAUGGUCAUGGACUGAAUUAUGUGACUUUAAAGGAUGUAACUGCCCAACAUUUGCAGAUUCUGGGUGGUCUAUGUGACCAUUUGUCUCGUAUCCAAAAACCCCGGGGCUAUUGGAACCCUUCCAACACUUUUUCCUUUGUCAUAGACAAGUUUAUAUAUAACUUACCAAGAUGUUGGCUGUCCUGGUGUAUUGCCAGACAGCUCUCUUUUGGUUCCCAUUCCAAAUGUGCUGCUGUCCUUCUUUGCAUUUCACAAUAUCAAAGAAACCACCACCCUUCUUCCUAACAGCAUUUUAUGCCUUUUAUUCCACAUUAAAUGGGAAUUGUGCCUACUUAGGAGUGCCCCUCCAAUUAAUUACAUGUGUCCAAGAAUAAUCCAAGCUAGAGACACAAGGUGGGAAAACAUUUCAAAAAAAAAAAGUCCUCUUAAGGCCAGUAAUUUAUCUGAAAAGGUAUUUUAUCACACCUUGACACCUUAUAUAUGAGCCUAUUAGGAGCUGCAGGUGGUUUCAUAGGGUAAAAUCCAAGAAAAGAGAAGGAUGUGUGGGGUUUCUAUUAGAAGAUAAUUUUGUUCUCAUUUUACCUUUUCUUUUAUGAUCCUUCUCUGCUAGAACAGGUUAAUUCUCCAAAUUUGUUUUGUUUUGUUUUGUUAUUUUUUAGGGAACUCUUUUGCAAAAGCAAUGGUCGGAUGUAAAUAACAUUUAAAGUAUAGUGCACAUAACUUCCCCGGACUGUUCCAAUCUGAUAAUUUGUAAAUGCUUUAGAGUUUUUUUAAUUAACACUUGUGUUGCUAAAUUCUAUUUAUGUAAGUCUGCUAAAGUUUUUUAGCCCACUUAAAACUUAAGACAACCAUUUAAAAUAAUGGAUGGGUUACUAUGAGCAAUUUCGCUUUCAGAACCCCCUUGUUUUAGUAUAUGAAAAAGCCUAAUGCGCAUUAAUGAGGUUGAAGAGACUAUGAGAAAUAUGUAUAGUGUAUAUUUUAAAACAGCUUUGCUUGUAUUGUGAAGAUUUAAAAACAAACUUGAGAUUUUUAACGUAACUAUUAACACAGUUUUAACAUAAGUUAUCCCACUGGGUUUAAGAGCAUCUUGAAUGUAUAAUCCUUUUUGUAACCCAGGUUGGUUUCUACUUUUACCAGUCACCCAAACAUAUUUAUGUUUUUAGUUUUAUGUACUCAUUUCCCUUUGUUUUCCUCAAACAGCAUGAUUUUUUUGCACAUGUAGAAAUUUUUUAAAAGAAAGAAAUUAGUACAUCAUUUUCUCUGGAUUUUCUUCACUUCCCUCUUCCUUUCUACUAACUCCUUCCUUAAAGGCCAUAUCACUCCAUUUGCAUUAUUUGUGCAAAUGCCAGGGUUGGUUUUUAUUUUUAUUUUUGCUAUUUACCUAAAAAAAGAAAAUGCUUCAGUCAAUUGCUUUUUUAUUUAAAAAAAAAAAGAAAAAAAGCUGUAACCUUAUCAUUUCUGAGUAGACCAUUGAGCGAUGAAUGCACACCUGUAGUAGCCCAGGACCAGCUGUGGUGGCUAAAGGGAAUAUGUUAAUUAAGCAAGAGGUUCUUUUCUAAAAGUGGUAUCUGUUAUCCACAAUGUAUUUUAGUUAUUCCCACAAGUCAGGGGUCCAGAUAAAAUGAGGGUUAUCAGCUAACUGAUAUGCUAUCAUUGAGGUUCAUCAAUGAAUUUGUACAUUUCUAGUUCCCUUUGGUGAAGGGAAAAAUGAUGAUUUUGCAAGACCUAGAUUUUGGCUUGGUUUCUUGCCUCCUUUUUUGGCAGCCUUCAUCUUCUCAUCUCCCAAACCCCCUGAGCCCGUAGGGUUUUCAUAGUGGACAAAGAACUUGUGGUCUUUUAAAACUGGGACUGAUACUUUUUUGAGAGAGUAUCGUGUCGAAAGUGUGAUGUUCUACCACUUUACCAAUAACUAAUUUUAAAUACACAUUGUCCUCUCGAUUUUUGGACCAAACAGACGCUCACAGUGGAGGCUUAUCAAGGGUUGCAUUGGGGAAGAAGCCUCUCCCUCUCUGUCAGCACCAGCUGGUAAAGGUGACUGUACAGAUGUGCAUUUUCCUUUUGGUAUAAAUGGUCCACAGCACUAACUGGUAAGGCUUAUUGUACAGUAUAUUGUCAGUAUUCUUCUGGUUCAGCAUACCUUAUAGUUCAUAUAUAACCUGUAUUAAUUGUAUAGAUUGUGCAUUAAAAGCUGUUACCAAGUUGUCAGAACAUAAGAGCGAAAACAAGGUCAUAUGUAAUAUUUUGUUUGUAAGUAUCCUUUGUAUCAUAGCAAAGGAAAUGUUUAAAAAAAUCAACUGUAAUAAAGUAAUUUUAGUAC